rnacentral:rRNA from 1 species
UGGGGGGAUAUUGCGCAAUGGGGGCAACCCUGACGCAGCAACGCCGCGUGAACGAUGAAGGUCUUCGGAUUGUAAAGUUCUUUUAUUAAGGACGAAGAAGUGACGGUACUUAAUGAAUAAGCUCCGGCUAACUACGUGCCAGCAGCCGCGGUAAUACGUAGGGAGCAAGCGUUGUCCGGAUUUACUGGGUGUAAAGGGUGCGUAGGCGGCAGAGCAAGUCAGAUGUGAAAUCCGUGGGCUUAACCCACGAACUGCAUUUGAAACUGUUUUCCUUGAGUGAAGUAGAGGCAGGCGGAAUUCCGAGUGUAGCGGUGAAAUGCGUAGAUAUUCGGAGGAACACCAGUGGCGAAGGCGGCCUGCUGGGCUUUAACUGACGCUGAGGCUCGAAAGUGUGGGGAGCAAACAGGAUUAGAUACCCUGGUAGU